rnacentral:piRNA from 1 species
UNCCUGGUUGAUCCUGCCAGUAGCAUAUGU